UAGCAAAAGUGUGAAGAUGUCACGUGUUGUAAAAACGUGUCUGCAUCUAAAGUACAUGUGAAAAAGCAAAUUAUAUGUGAUUUUAUUUGGCGUAUUUACUGGCGUACUACAUGUACAAUUUAACAUUAAAUGAGUUAA